GUGAACUUCUGAAGCACAAUGAGGAACUUUCAUUCAUUCAGCAGCUUAAUUCAAUGGCAGACAGAAUGAAGGAAGCAUCUGAACCAUUCAUGGCACCGACCCCCACCUCUGAUCAGGGUAAAACUGUUGUGGAAAGGCUGGCAGAGUGGGUCCAAAGGCAGUAUGUGGCAGCACCCACACCAACCCUGGACAGCAACUUCCUGGUCAGUAUGUGUAAGUAUCUAAAGAAAUAGAUACAGAGCACCGCAAU